rnacentral:rRNA from 1 species
GAUGAACGCUGGCGGCGCGCCUAACACAUGCAAGUCGAACGAUUAAAGCACCUUCGGGUGUGUAUAAAGUGGCGAACGGCUGAGUAACACGUGGGCAACCUGCCCCUCUCAUUGGGAUAGCCACGGGAAACCGUGGAUAAUACCGAAUACUUCGAGUCUCCCGCAUGGAAGACUCGAGAAAGCUCCGGCGGAGAGGGAUGGGCCCGCGGCCCGUUAGCUUGUUGGUGGGGUAACGGCCUACCAAGGCAAUGAUGGGUAGCUGGGUUGAGAGACCGACCAGCCAGAUUGGGACUGAGACACGGCCCAGACUCCUACGGGAGGCAGCAGUGGGGAAUCUUGCACAAUGGGCGAAAGCCUGAUGCAGCGACGCCGCGUGCGGGAUGAAGGCCUUCGGGUUGUAAACCGCUUUCAGCAGGGACGAGGCGAAAGUGACGGUACCUGCAGAAGAAGCCCCGGCUAACUACGUGCCAGCAGCCGCGGUAAUACGUAGGGGGCAAGCGUUAUCCGGAUUCAUUGGGCGUAAAGCGCUCGUAGGCGGUCUGUUAGGUCGGGAGUUAAAUCCGGGGGCUCAACCCCCGUUCGCUCCCGAUACCGGCAGACUUGAGUUUGGUAGGGGAAGGUGGAAUUCCUAGUGUAGCGGUGGAAUGCGCAGAUAUUAGGAAGAACACCAGUGGCGAAGGCGGCCUUCUGGGCCAUAACUGACGCUGAGGAGCGAAAGCUAGGGGAGCAAACAGG